rnacentral:rRNA from 1 species
GACGAACGCUGGCGGCGUGCUUAACACAUGCAAGUCGAACGGAAAGGCCCUGCUUUUGUGGGGUGCUCGAGUGGCGAACGGGUGAGUAACACGUGGGUAACCUGCCCUUGACUUUGGGAUAACUUCAGGGAACUGGGGCUAAUACCGGAUAGGAGCUCCUGCUGCAUGGUGGGGGUUGGAAAGUUUCGGCGGUUGGGGAUGGACUCGCGGCUUAUCAGCUUGUUGGUGGGGUAGUGGCUUACCAAGGCUUUGACGGGUAGCCGGCCUGAGAGGGUGACCGGCCACAUUGGGACUGAGAUACGGCCCAGACUCCUACGGGAGGCAGCAGUGGGGAAUAUUGCACAAUGGGCGGAAGCCUGAUGCAGCAACGCCGCGUGCGGGAUGACGGCCUUCGGGUUGUAAACCGCUUUCGCCUGUGACGAAGCGUGAGUGACGGUAAUGGGUAAAGAAGCACCGGCUAACUACGUG